rnacentral:rRNA from 1 species
AUUGAACGCUGGCGGCAUGCUUUACACAUGCAAGUCGAGCGGCAGCGCAGGGGCAACCCUGGCGGCGAGCGGCGAACGGGUGAGUAAUGCAUCGGAACGUACCCUGGAGUGGGGGAUAACGCCGCGAAAGCGGCGCUAAUACCGCAUAUGCUCUGAGGAGGAAAGUGGGGGACCGCAAGGCCUCACGCUCUGGGAGCGGCCGAUGUCCGAUUAGCUAGUUGGUGAGGUAAAGGCUUACCAAGGCGACGAUCGGUAGCUGGUCUGAGAGGAUGAUCAGCCACACUGGGACUGAGACACGGCCCAGACUCCUACGGGAGGCAGCAGUGGGGAAUUUUGGACAAAUGGGGGGCAACCCUGAUCCAGCCAUGCCGCGUGAGUGAAGAAGGCC